CAGUUAAGUAGUUUUGGAGAAUAUAAGCUUUGGGUGCUUAAGGGUCUAUAAUUGUAGACUUACUGA
rnacentral:tRNA from 1 species